UGUGCUUUGAAGUUUCCUCCAUUAGAUU
rnacentral:piRNA from 1 species